AGAAAUCUUACCCGGAGAGACAGCAGAAUGAAGGUCAAGCUGAAGACUUUACCAGACAAGCUGAGAGGUGGUGCAUGGCCGUCGCCAGCUCGUGCCGUGAGAUGUCCUGUUAAGUCAGGUAACGAGCGAGAUCCCUGCCUCUAGUUGCCACCAUUACUCUCAGGAGUAGUGGGGCGAAUUAGCGGGACCGCCGCAGUUAAUGCGGAGGAAGGAAGGGGCCACGGCAGGUCAGUAUGCCCCGAAACUCUGGGGCCACACGCGGGCUGCAAUGGUAGCGACAAUUGGUUUCGAAUCCGAAAGGAUGAGGUAAUCCACAAACGCUACCACAGUUAUGACUGAGGGCUGCAACUCGCCCUCACGAAUAUGGAAUCCCUAGUAACUGCGUGUCAUUAUCGCGCGGUGAAUACGUCCCUGCUCCUUGCACACACCGCCCGUCGUUUCAUUGAAGUGAGCUUUUAGCGAGGUGACGUCUAAUUGGCGUUAUCGAACUUGAGGUUCGUGACAAGGGAAAAGUCGUAACAAGGUGACCGUAGGGGAACCUGCGGUCG
rnacentral:rRNA from 1 species